GACGAACGCUGGCGGUGUGCUUCACACAUGCAAGUCGAACGAGGUAGCAAUACCUAGUGGCGGACGGGUGAGUAACGCGUGGGAAUCUGCCUUAAGAUGGGGGAUAACGAGCCGAAAGGCUCGCUAAUACCGCAUAUGCCGAAAGGUGAAAGGAGUAAUCCGUCUUAAGAUGAGCCCGCGUCCGGAUUAGCUAGUUGGUAGGGUAAAGGCCUACCAAGGCGACGAUCCGGUAGCUGGUCUGAGAGGAUGAUCAAGCCACAAUGGGACUGAGACACGGCCCAUACUCCUACGGGAGGCAGCAGUGGGGAAUUUUACGCAAUGGGGGAAACCCUGACGUAGCGACACCGCGUGAGCGAAGAAGCCCCUUGGGGUGUAAAGCUCUGUCAGCUGGAACGAAAAAAAUAGACGGUACCAGCAGAGGAAGCAUCGGCUAACUACGUG
rnacentral:rRNA from 1 species